rnacentral:rRNA from 1 species
CCUACGGGUGGCAGCAGUGAGGAAUAUUGGUCAAUGGACGAGAGUCUGAACCAGCCAAGUAGCGUGAAGGAUGACUGCCCUAUGGGUUGUAAACUUCUUUUAUAUGGGAAUAAAAUGUUCCACGUGUGGGAUUUUGUAUGUACCAUAUGAAUAAGGAACGGCUAACUCCGGGCCAGCAGCCGCGGUAAUACGGAGGAUCCGAGCGUUAUCCGGAUUUAUUGGGUUUAAAGGGAGCGUAGGUGGAUUGUUAAGUCAGUUGUGAAAGUUUGCGGCUCAACCGUAAAAUUGCAGUUGAAACUGGCAGUCUUGAGUACAGUAGAGGUGGGCGGAAUUCGUGGUGUAGCGGUGAAAUGCGUAGAUAUCACGAAGAACUCCGAUUGCGAAGGCAGUUCACUGGACUGCAACUGACACUGAGGCUCGAAAGUGUGGGUAUCAAACAGGAUUAGAUACCCUUGUAGUC